UACGAAGGGGGCUAGCGUUGCUCGGAAUUACUGGGCGUAAAGGGCGCGUAGGCGGCACAGUUAGUCAGGCGUGAAAUUCCUGGGCUCAACCUGGGGGCUGCGUUUGAUACGUGUAGGCUUGAGUUCGGAAGAGGGUCGUGGAAUUCCCAGUGUAGAGGUGAAAUUCGUAGAUAUUGGGAAGAACACCGGUGGCGAAGGCGGCGACCUGGUCCGAAACUGACGCUGAGGCGCGAAAGCGUGGGGAGCAAACAGG
rnacentral:rRNA from 1 species